AUGGUCCUAUGGCGAGCAUCCCCAUCCAUGGCUGCCUGCCGCGUGUCGCGUGUCGCGGGCGGCGAGGGGCUCGGUCGUCUUUCGCGUACCCCGGCAGCUUUCCACAGUUCAAAACCCAACUCACAAGACAGCACUUGGGGAAGAAACAAGAGAGGCAAAAGCAGAGGAAACGUCGAGGCUCAUCCAUCACAACUCGAUGAAAACCACGACGUGAUCGCCCAAUCUCACCCGGCAGUCGGGACUCCCGGACGCGCCCCAAAGCCUCGGGAGGGGACGCGCGGGCGGGACAACGGCCCGGGAGGCACGGCGGGCGGCCUUCACCUGUGGCAGUCGCGCGAGGAAGAGGGUCAGGGGGAGAACAUUGAGGGCAGCAGGUGGGAAGCGUCCGGAAGGCGGCGGGGGAGAGCGAAAACAAGGCGGAGAGAGGGCACAGCGCCGCGGGGCGGAGGGAGCCGCCGAGGGCCGCCGAGACGGGGAGCUGGGGCAGACGGCCGGGCCCACGCCGCGCGACACGGACGGCCGGAGCUCUCCGGUCGCAAGAUGCCCCGUGGGGCUGGGCAGCCGCGUCUGCGACACUUGCCCGCCCGCUGCUCGACGGGGCCGAGGAAGGCGGCGGGUGACCCGGACACCGCCUCCCGCGGGCGUGGGUCCCCGCUGCCUCUGUGGCGUGAGAGUGAGCCGGCCCAGGCUUCCUGCGGCCAGGAGGCAGGGUCUCCAGCCGUUACCAGCGGUUUGGCAGUGACCCCGCUGCCCCCAUCCCCUCCUCACCCCGUCGGGUCUUCAAAUGUUGGUCCUAAUCCCUGGGACCAACGACCACAAACCGCCGCCACCGUUUCGGGGACCAGUCCGUCGGAGCGGGGUCGGCGCAGGGGGGAGGGGGUCCCACCGGGAACAGCUCGCGCCGUCCUCGCGCCUGGCCUCGGCUCCCAGCCAGCGCCGCGCGCAGCAGCCUGGGCCGCCCCACGCGGAGUGGCGCCUGGACCAAUCAGUGACCAGCCCUGGGAAGAAGCUGGGCGGGACCAAGGUUUAAAUCCGAAGGAGGCUAAACACUUGUGGCUGCAGCCAUGAGUAGGCCCAGGCUUCAGAAGAAGCUCAUCUCCAGCAUCCUCCACUGUGGCAAGAAGAAUAAGAUUGGACCCCAGAGAAACUAGUGAAAUAGCCAAUGCCAGCUCCCAUGUGCAGAUCAGAAGCCCAUCAAAGAUGGGCUGGUCAUCUAUGAGCCUAUGACUGUCCAUUCCCAGGCUUGAUGCAGGGAAAAGGGCAGGUAAAUGGUCAUAGGUAAGCAAAAGGCUACUCAAAUGUCCAAGAAGGUAACCUGGAUGAGAAUUCUGUGCCCACUGCCCAGAAGACACCGCCAAUCUAAGAUGGACACCACCUGCAUCACAGCCUGUACCCGCAAGUGAUGGGGAGCCUGUCCAAGAGUACACGGAUUCUCAAGGAACACAUCACAAGCUGAACGCAGACAGAGACUGCAAGAAGCUCCUGGCUGACCAGGCUGAGACUCCCAGGGCAGAGCCCAAGGAAGCCCACAAGUGCCCUGAGGAGCCGCUCCAGGCCAAGGCUAUCCAAGGAGAAGAGACCAAGAAAUAAAGCUUCCCUUCUUUUGUCUGUACA
rnacentral:lncRNA from 1 species